AGGGGCAUAGUUCAAUGGUAGAACGGCGGUCUCCAAAACCGCAAAUGUGGGUUCGAUUCCUACUGCCCCUGCCA
rnacentral:tRNA from 2 species